rnacentral:rRNA from 1 species
GUAACGGAGGAGCACGAAGGUGGGCUAAUCACGGUUGGACAUCGUGAGGUUAGUGCAAUGGCAUAAGCCCGCUUGACUGCGAGAAUGACAAUUCGAGCAGGUGCGAAAGCAGGUCAUAGUGAUCCGGUGGUUCUGAAUGGAAGGGCCAUCGCUCAACGGAUAAAAGGUACUCCGGGGAUAACAGGCUGAUACCGCCCAAGAGUUCAUAUCGACGGCGGUGUUUGGCACCUCGAUGUCGGCUCAUCACAUCCUGGGGCUGAAGUCGGUCCCAAGGGUAUGGCUGUUCGCCAUUUAAAGUGGUACGCGAGCUGGGUUUAGAACGUCGUGAGACAGUUCGGUCCCUAUCUGCCGUGGGCGUUGGAGAAUUGAAAGGGGCUGCUCCUAGUACGAGAGGACCGGAGUGGACGAACCUCUGGUGUUCGGGUUGUGUCGCCAGACGCAUUGCCCGGUAGCUAAGUUCGGGAUCGAUAACCGCUGAAAGCAUCUAAGCGGGAAGCGAGCCUUGAGAUGAGUUCUCCCUGAUACUUUAAGUAUCCUAAAGGGUUGUCGUAGACUACGACGUUGAUAGGCAGGGUGUGUAAGCGUUGUGAGGCGUUGAGCUAACCUGUACUAAUUGCCCGUGAGGCUUAACCAU